CCCUUAGAUGUACUGGGCCGCACGCGCGCUACACUGAGUGUCUGAGAUACGAGUCUGCCUGGUCCGGCAAGGUCUAGGUAAUCGCUAAAAGACACAUCAUGCUUGGGAUAGAUUAUUGCAAAUAUUAAUCUUGAACGAGGAAUUCCUAGUAAGCGCAAGUCAACAGCUUGCGUUGAUUACGUCCCUGCCCUUUGUACACACCGCCCGUCGCUACUACUGAUUGGAUGUUUAAGCGAGGUUCUCGAACUGCUAGCGACUUAGCUUCGGUGAGGUCGCAGUGUGGGAAGUGAACCUAGCUUUGGUGUCUAGAGGAAGUAAAAGUCGUAACA
rnacentral:rRNA from 1 species